UCCCACUUUUUAUGGUUGAUUGCAUGUUUUGAAGGCUUUGAUUUCAGAUAACAAAAUCCAGAAUGGUAGAAGAUAGCCAAUUGUAUGUUGCAAGUAUAUAUACCUACUUUAUAUUAUAAAAUUUUAUUCUCAGUAUAGAAGUUAUGUGAAUUUGUAUUUAAAUUAAUAUGCUAUAAUUUAAAGCCUUCCAAAUCAAAUCUCUUUUAGAAUAAGGUACAGUGUACAUAUGUUGUAAAUAUUAUGUUGCAUUGUCUAAUAUGUCAAAUCACUAUUAAGCAUUUUGUUUAAUACUUUUCAAGCUUUUUGUGUUUUUUUAAAGUAUCUGUUAAAGAAUACUCUAUCAAAAUGAAUUUGAUAUGAAAACAAUAUUUUAUUUAUUUAAAUGUUUUAGAAUAUAAAAGCACAAGUAGAGAUAGAGGAGUGUAAGAAUUGCUUCUGAUGGUAAACAAGGGAUGAAAGAAUUAGAAAUCUUUUAACUUUUUUUUUAACAUGGUAAGAACCCUUAACUUGAGAUCUACCCUCUUAACAAAUUUUUAAGUGCACCAUACAGUAUUGUUAACUGUAAGCACAUUGUUGUAUAGUAGAUCUCUAGAAUCUAUCCAUCUUAUGUAACUGAAACUUUAUUCCCAUUGCUCAGUAAUUUCCCAUUUCUCCCUUCCCCUAGCCCCUGGCAGCCAUCAUUGUAGUCUCUCUUUCUAUGAGUAUUUGACUAGUUUGGAUAUCUCAUAUAAGUGGAAUCAGGUAGUUUUUGUCUUUCUAUGAUUGGCUUAUUUUACCUAAUAUAAUGUCCCCCAGGUUCAACCAUGUUAUCACAUAUGGCAAGAUCUCCUUCCUUAAAAAAGACCUACUUCCUUAAAAAAAAAAAAAAGUCCAGAUAAUAUUUCGUUGCAUGUAUAUACAUUUUCUUUAUCCAUUCAUCCAUCAGUGGACAUUUAGGUUGUUUCCCUAUCUUGGUAUCGUAAAUUGUACUGCAGUGAACAUGGGCAUGUAGUAUCUCUUUGAGAUGAUUCCAUUUCCUUUGGAUAUAUACCCAGAAGUGAGAUUUCUGGAUUGUAUGGUACUUCUAUUUUUAAUUUUUUGAGGAACCCUCAUACUGUUUUCCAUAGAAGCCACAUCAUUAUACAUUUCUACCAACAGUAUACAAGUAAGUGUUCCAGUUUCUGCACAUCCUUGAGAGCACUUGUUAUCUUUUGUUCUUUUGAUAAUAGCCAGCCUAACAGGUAUGAGGUGAUAUCUCAUUGUGGAUUGAUUUGCAUUUCCCCAAUAAUUACUGAAGUUGAGCAUCUGUACCUGUGGACCAUUUGUAUGCCACUUUUUAAUCUGGUUAUUUGGGUUUUUUGCCAUUGAAUUGUAGGAAUUUCUUAUAUAUUUUGGAUAUUAAACCUUUAUCAAAUACAUAGCUUAAAGAUUUAAAAAUAAGACCUGAAACUAUAAAACUCUUAGAAGACAUCUUAGUGAAAAAGCAUCAUCAUAUCUGCCCAGGCAAUGAUUUCUUGAAUAUGACACCAAAAACCAAGCAACGAAAGCAGUAAUAAUAGACAAAUGGGACUACAUCAAACUAAAAAGCUUAUGCACAGGAAGAGAAACAAUAAACAGAGUGAAAACACAACAUACAGAAUGGGAGAAAAUAUUUUUAAUGGUUUUAGAAUGAUCAGAUCUACACUCCAUUAUCAAAAACACUUAGUGCUAGUUGUAUUUCAAUUUCAAACUUUUCAAACCUUUGAAAAGUAAUAUGGUGCAUAUGCCACCUAUUAUUUUAAUAUAUCUAUGGGUUCCAGGGGGACUCUCUUAAUCAAACACAUUAAUAUUCUGCAAAUACUCACACUAAGUAGUUUAAAGGACUAUAAAUAGUUUCGUAUCAGUUUAGGCUAGAUUGCCCUCAAGUGAAUUAUAAAAUAAUUUUUAAAUUUUCAGAGCUUUUGGAAUUUCAGAUUUUCUGAUGAGGGAUUGUAAACCUAUAUUUUGAAAUCCUUAAAAUAAUGAUUCUUGAAUAAAUUAAAAAUAAUUUUUUAUUAAUUGCUAACCUAGCAAAUAAAAGAAAACUGAUCUUUAAAACUGAAAUGCAUGGCCACGCUGAGCCAGCUUUGGGCACUCUGCACACCAGGUGUCCUCUUCUUCCUGUUCUGGUUAGCUGUGGAGGCCCUGAAGACCCUGAACCCCAAGGCCAAGGUGGCCCAAGCCCAGGCGGAACUGGAGAUUAACAUCAGUGUGGCCCAGGGGCUGCAGGACAUGCUGAGCACCAACUUGGGGCCUAAGGGCACCAUGAAGAUGCUUGUUUCUGGUGCUGGAGACAUCAAGCUUACUGAAGAUGGCAAUAUGCUGCUUCGUGAAAUGCAAAUUCAACACCCAACAGCCUCCUUAAUAGCCAAAGUGGCAACAACCUAGGAUGACAUAACUGGUGAUGGUACCACUUCCAAUGUCUUAAUCAUUGGAGAGCUACUGAAACAAGGUGGAUCUCUACAUUUCUGAAAGUCUUCGUCCCAGAAUAAUAACAGAAGGACUUGAAGCUGCAAAGGAAAAGGCACGUCAGUUUUUGGAACAAGUGAAAGUAAGCAAAGAAAUGGACUGGGAAACACUUACAAAUGUGGCCAGAACAUCUCUACCUCCUAAAGUACAUGCUGAACUUCCUGAUACCUUAAUAGAAGCUGUAGUGGACUUCAUUUUCGUCAUUAAAAAACAAGGUGAACCUGUUGACCUUUUAAUGUUUGAGAUCAUGGAAAUGAAACAGAAAUCUGAAACUGAUACAAGCUUAAUCAGAGGUCUUGUUUAGACCAUGGGACACACAUCCUGAUAGGGGGGAAAAAAAAGAAGAAGAAGAUGCAUGCAUCCUCACGUGCACUGUGUCAUUAGAAUAUGAAAAAACAGAAGUGAAUUCUUUUUUUAUAAGAGUUCAGAAGAAGAGGAACUUGUAAAAGCUGAAAGAAAAUUCCUUGAAGAUAGAGUUAAAAAAUAAUAGAACUGAAAAAGAAAGUCUGUGUGAUUCAGAUAAAAGAUUCAUUCAAAAGGGAAUUGACCCCUUCAGAUGCUCUUGCAUAGAGUUAAAAGGAGAAAUAGGGAAAGGCUGACUCUUGCUUGUGGCGGAGUAGCUCUAAAUUCUUUUGAUGACCUAAAUCCUGAUUGUUUUGGACAUGCAGGACUUGUCUGUGAGUAUACAUUGAGAGAAGAGAAAUUCACCUUUAUUGAAAAAUAUAACAAUCCUCACUCCAUCAUGUUAUUGGUCAAAGGACCAAAUAAGCACACACUCCCUCAAAUCAAAGAUGCAAUAAGGGAUGGUUUGAGGGCUGUUAAAAAUGCUAUUGAUGAUGGCUUUGUAGUUCUAGGUGCUGGGGCAGUGGAGGUGGCAAUAACAAAAGCCUUGAUUAAAUAUAAGCCCAUUGUAAAGGGCAGGGCCCAGCUUGGAGUCCAAGCAUUUGCUGAUGCAUUGCUCAUUAUUCCCAAGGUUCUUGCUCAGAACUCUGGUUUUGACCUUCAGGAAACACAAGUUCAAGCAGAACAUUCAGAAUCAGGUCAGUUUGUGGGUGUGGACUUGAAUACAGGUGAGCCAGUGGUAGCAGCCGAUGUAGACAUAUGGGAUAACUAUUGUGUAAAGAAUAGCUUUACACAGUCCUGCAUUGUGAUUGCCACCAACAUUCUCCUGGUUGAUGAGAUCAUGAGAGCCAGAAUGUCUUCUUGAAAAGGCUGAAUUGAAGCUUCCCUUGUGUCAUCUGAAUCAUGAAGACUCUACAGAGUGGUCCUAAGAAGAGCUCUGGAAUUUUUGUCCAAGUUUCAAAUGAUUUUCAAAAGCAUUUUCUUUUCCCAUAUGAAAAAAAGAGAACACUGACACUAAAAUUCUGAAGUUCUGAAAUUAUAAUUACAGUAUUUUUUUAAAUUGCACUUCAGUGUACACACAUUAAGUAGGCCGUUUUUACCCAAUGAACAGGAUGUUUUGCUUUAGCUUCAGUGUUAUAAAAGUACCAAGUUAGAUAAGUAUAUGUUAUCUACCUUGUUAUUAAAUGUUACUUGAAAAAAAACAAAAAAAUAAAAUUCACCUUUAAUGAGUGGUUCUCUAUCCUUUUUAUCUUAGGUGAAGUUUUUUCAUUUAAAUGUUUUAUGAGUCUGUACUAAGUAUAUUAAUUACAUUUUAUAUUACUCCACUUAGGAUUGAAGGGUAGAACUUAGUUUAAGAAGAUAUUGAAAGCACAUGGUAGAAUCAUGUAAAUUUCUUGACUGAUGAAGUUUUAGAAGUUAGAAAUGUUUUCUUUGUGAAUAUUUACUUUUAGUCUUUAGAUUAGAACGACUCUUGUUUUUUUUUUCUAGCUUAUCUUUAGAUUGUUAAGUACUUGUUAUAGUUAUAUAGUACUUUGAAAUUUCAAAGUUGCUUGUGCCUUGAUAAGUACCUUGAGUUCUAAGGAUUUAGAGAUCUUUUCUACCUAAGAUUAUUGAUUUUUCACUUGAAAGAUAAAACAUUAUUUUAUUACCAUAUCACAAUAAAUGUUGGUGAAUGAAAGCACUGCUAGAAAUGUGCUGAAGAGUUCCAUUCUUCACUGAAUCACCCAGAGUAAUAGGAAACCCAAAUUUCAAAGCAUGAAAAGUUAAGUAUCUACUUACUAUAAAAUGUGCCUAAUACCAUGUAAUAGAAUGAAAUAAAUUGCCCAGUGAUAGUUUAUUAGAAUACAAAAAAAAAAAAUUUUUUUUUUUUUUUUUUGAAAUUAGCAUCGGUGUAUGGAAAGACUUUCUGGAAACUAAGAAUAAAAGGAAAUUCUCCUAACUCAAUGAAGUCCAUAUACCCAAAGUCUAUAGCAAACAUUAUAUUGAGAAAUUUUGAACACAAACCAAAUAGGAUUGGAAGUUAAAAAAAGAAAAAAAAAUUCACUACUUGCAUAUGAUACAGUCAUCUACGUAAAACCCAAAACCCAUCAGCAGAAUACUAAACCUGAGAAAAUUCAGCAAGAUUCUCUAAGACUAAAUUUGUUAAAUUAGGAGCGCCUGGAUGGCUCAGUUGGUUAAGCAUCUGCCUUUGGCUCAGGUCAUGAUCCCAGGGUCCUGGGAUCAAGCCCUAUGUCUAGCUCCCUGCUCAGUGGGGAGUCUGCUUCUCCGUCUGCCCCUUCCCCCACUCAUGCAUGCUCUCUCAAAUACAAUCUUUUAAGAAAUUAUAAAAAUUAAUGUUUUUUUAAUCUCAUUUUUUAAUUAUGCUAAUCACCAUACAUUACAUCAUUAGUUUUUGAUGUAGUGUUCCAUGAUUCAUUGUUUGCGUAUAACACCCAGUGCUCCAUUCAGUACGUGCCCUCUUUAAUACCCAUCACCAGGCUAACCCAUCCCCCCACCCCUGUCCCCUCUAGAACCCUCAGUUUGUUUCUCAGAGUCCAUAGUCUCUCAUGGUUCGUCUCCUGCUCCAAUUUCCCCCCUUCAUUUUUCCCUUCCUGAUAUCUUCUCUUUUUUUAAUAUAUAUUAUAAAAAAUUAAUAUGUUUUUAUACCCAGAGGUCAGCAGCCUUUUUUAUAAAGAACCAGAUAAUAUUUUCAGCUUGUGGGCCAUAUGGUACCUGACUCAACUAAACUCUACCAAUAUAGCUGCUUUCAAACUAUGAAUUAUGUCACCAAAUGGGUGUGACUAUGUUCCAGUAAAACUUUAUUUACAAAAAAAUAUGGCAAACUGGAAUUAGCUUGUGAGCCAUAGAUUUCUGACCCCUGCUAUAUACCAUUAGUAACCCACUUAGAAAAUAGCAGUGCUGUGAAUUGUGUAAGACUGUUGAAUCACAGACCUGUACCUCUAAAACAAAUAAUACAUUAUAUGUUAAAAAAAAAAAGAAGAAGAAGAAGAAGAUAGCAGGAAGGGAAGAAUGAAGGGGGGGAAAUCGGAGGGGGAGAUGAAACAUGAGAGCCUAUGGACUCUGAGAAACAAACUGAGGGUUCUAGAGGGGACAGGGGUGGGGGGAUGGGUUAGCCUGGUGAUGGGUAUUAAAGAGGGCACAUUCUGCAUGGAGCACUGGGUGUUAUACGCAAACAGUGAAUCAUGGAACACUACAUCAACUAAUAAUGGGGGCGCCUGGGUGGCUCAGUUGGUUAAGCGACUGCCUUCGGCUCAGGUCAUGAUCCUGGAGUCCCUGGAUCGAGUCCCGCAUCGGGCUCCCUGCUCAGCGGGGAGUCUGCUUCUCCCUCUGACCCUCCUCCCUCUCAUGCUCUCUGUCUCUCAUUCUCUCUCUCUCUGUCAAAUAAAUAAAUAAAAUCUUUAAAAAAAAAAAAAGAAAAAUAUUUCAUUAAAAAAAAACUAAUAAUGUAUGGUGAUUAACAUAUAAUAAAAAAAAUAGUAUAACAAAGAUUAACCUGAUUAGGAAUGCAUAAAACCUUCAUGGGAAAUAACUAACUUUAUAAAGACAAAAGAUUAUCAUGUACAAUAUGCCUUAACCUAGUGAUGCCUGUUUCUCUAAAUCUAUCAUGUCACUGUCUCCUAUUAAAAAUUCUAUCCUGACUUUUUGUGUGUGUGUGUGAGAAACUUCACAAACUCAUUCUAAAAUUAACAUUUACCAAUAAAGGUCCAAGAUUAAGUCACUUUCAAUAAAGAAGAGGAAGGAAGUACUGGACCUAUUAGACAGUGAGGAUUACUACGAAGUUAUAAUAUUGAAAACAGUAUGAUGCUAGCAAAAGAAAGACCAAAUACACUGGAAUAAAUUAAUGACCUCAAAAAAAAAAAAAAAAACACCUCAUGUAUAUAUGAAAACUUGAUUAAGUGGCACCCCUAGGGAGUAAGAAACAGAUUGCUUAAAGCAGAUAGGUGCCUAGAUUUUAUUAGGAGAGCUAGCUAUUUGUAGAAAAAAACAGGAUCACUACAUUACACAUGAUAAACUCAAAAAAUAUAAAUUUGGGGGCACCUGGGUGGCUCAUUCUGUUGAGCAUCCACAUCUAGGUUUCAGCUCAGGUCAUGAUCUUAGAGGAUGAGCCCUGCAUUGGGCUGCUUACUCAGCAGGGAGUCCGCUUGAGGAUUCUCUCCCUCUGCUCCUCUCCCACUUGUGUGUGCCCUCCUGCACUCUAAAAUAAAUAGAUAAAUCUUUAAAAAAAAAAAAAAAAAGGAAACGUAAAACGUCAAAGCUCAUAAGAAAUUUCAGAGAAUAUCUGUAUUUUAGGAACAGAGAACAUAAUGUGAAAAUUAGUGGGUUUGAUUACAUCAAAAUUAAGUAUUUCUGUUAUAGGAACCAUACAUUGAAGUGAAAGGUCAAAUGUCAGUUUUUUAAUAUCUAAAACCUACAUGAGAAUAAUACUUAUAAUGUAGAAAGAACUGCUAUACAGUAACAGAAACAAAGCAGAAAUCUAAAAAAUAAAUGAAAGAGGGGCACCUGGCUGACUCAGUCCGUUAAGAGUCUGCCUCUUGGUUUUGGCUCAGGUCAUGAUCUCAGGGUGGUGAGAUUGAGCCCAGAAUGGGGCUCCAUGCUCGGUGUGGAGCCUGCUUAAGAUUCUCACUGUCCCUCUCUCUCUGCCCCUCCCCCCCCAAAAAAAAGGAAAGAGAAAAAUGAAUGGUGGUAUGCUGUAGAAUACCAAUGCAGCAAGUAGAAGUAACAAUGGUGAGAUCUUUAAAACUGGAUACGGUUAAAAUACACAGUUGAGAGAAAAGAAAAAACAAAGUGAGAUUUUUAAUUCAGUACUAUUUAUGUAAAUUUAAAACAACACAUUACAUGAAAAUAUAUUUAAGAAUGUAACGAAAGCACUUAGAGUAGAGGAAAAUAGUACAGAUUAGAAAAAUAAAAGUUUAAAGAAUUAUCACUUCUUUUAUUUAUAUGUCUAUAAGUAAAGUAAGCAUUUUUUCUGGAUGAAUGCCAGCUUUAAAAAGUGGAAUUCUAUGUAUUUAUUGAAGUCACAUUAUAAGCACUUGUAACUUAGACAAAUUUAACUCCAGCAGAGGGCUUGUAAUCUUAGGCCCUCAAGAAAGAAAUUUCAAGAUAUUAAUAUAUAGAACAUUCUGGGGGCGCCUAGGUGGCUCAGUCAUUAAGCGUCUGCCUUUGGCUCAGGUCAUGAUCCCAAGGUCCUGGGAUUGAGCCCUGCAUCAGGCUCCCUGCUCAGCGGGAGCCUGCUUCUCCCUCUCCCACUCCCCCUGCUUGUUGUUCCCUCUCUUGCUGUGUCUCUCUCUGUCAAAUAAAUAAAUAAAAUCUUUAAAAAUAUAUAUAUAUAGAGAGAGAGAGAACAUUCUGUUUUAUAAACUCAAAAUUGCUAUUUUAUCUGUCAGGAUAUAACCCCUGGUCCUCAACAUGGUGUGAAGAUACUAGUAGUUCUAAUAAACAUCACUAACCUGGGAUUUGUCCAGUGCUCAUAUUGCUUACUACAUACCCAGUUCCUACAUAGAGUAUCAAAAGUUGAAGGAAAAACAUUACAAGUUGUAAUAUGGUGAUAGAAGAAAGAAUCACUGUUGAGUUUGUUAAAAAUGGUUUCCUAGGCCCCAUCACCAGAAUUUCUAAUUUGGUAGCACUGGGUGGAGUGGAGCUCCUGAAUUAAUGGUUCUAGUAAGUUCACAGGUGAUUCUAAUGCUUUUGGUCUUAGAAUCACAUUUUGAGACAUUUUGUAGAUAAUGUUUCUUAAUAUUUACUGUGUGAACCACCAUAGGAUGAACAGAAUAUAAAGAUAAAUCUUUAUGUUGGGCCCAGGAAUCUGCAUUUUUAGGUGCCGGUUAUGAACAAGUAGGCAUAUGUUUCCUGAAACAGAAGAAUGUCCUGGGCCCAGUUUUAUCAGAAUUGAGACCAUAUAUCCUCAGCUAAAACUAAAUUUUUGUGCUACUUGAUUGAGAAGAAAUGCUAAAUAUUAAAAAAUGUUAAGGGUAAAAUACAAUUUUGUUUAAAACAUGUAGUCCUGUAGUUACAAAAAUGCACAUACCCUGAAACAACUCAAAAUCUGUAUUAGAAAUCUAAAGCUACCAAAAAAAUAUUCAAGAGUUUUCUGUCUGGAUUUUUCUGCUAGAUACCGUGUGAUUUGAAAUUUACGUCUUUAUAUUCAUGUUAUAUUUUUAAAAUACUCAAGUGCUUAGUUUUUUCAGAACUUGCAUUUCUAAUCUAGUUUUUCUGAUUUCUUACAACCUCUCAAAACAUAGUGUUUUGCAGUAAUACCUUAGAAAAGUCUUAACCUGAGGUUUUCUGUUCUGUUAAAUUUGACAUGUUGGCAUCAGGUACAUAGUGUAUUCAGUGAGAGAUAUAUGCCUAGUUAAAUCUUGUAUUUCUAAAAAAAUAUUUUAAAGUAGAAUAAUUGUAAAAGCAUAGCAGUUCCUAAAGAGACAAGAAACCUAAUCAAUAGAUUAUAUCCCUUACUUUCCAGAGUUUGUUGAAUGUUAACAAUUUAUCCCUUAGCCAUAGCUUCUGAGACACAACUCUAUUAAAUUUUGACUAAGUUGUACAAUUAAUUUUUUUCUGUAUGGUUUUAUUUAGGUAUAGUUAUUUCAAAGAAUGGCUUUAGAUUAUUAAUAUUACAGAAAAAACCCUAAAUUCCUCUUGUGGGAGUAAGCACAUUCAGACAUUUUCAUUAAUUCAAAAAUAUUGACAAAAGACAUGUGAUUAAGUAUCUUGUCAAUAAAAGUUAAGGGUCAUUGAUGAUUGUGAAAAGGCAGUUUUCAUGGGCUAGAAAACAUCCAAAGAAGAAUCCAAAAUUAACUACAUAAGGCAUGAGAGGCCAAAAAUAAUCAAAUGGAAAACUAAGCUAGUAGUUCUUACUCAUACAUUGUCUCUCUGCCAUCUGUGUUGUUCCGAUUAACAAAAUACCAAAUUGGUGACCAAAACACUAAGUAUAAACUUAAUCUGGUGCCAUAUUAGUUUUUUGUUAUUUGAAUAUAUACCUCCUUUCCUAGGUAUUUGUCACCUAAAGAUAGGCAUCAUAAUAAUGUUAAAAAGAAGUUCCUGUGUGCUAUUUACCAAAUAAACUGCUUUUUUCUGGUUAUUUUAACUAUCCAAACUCCAAAUCCUUUUUAGAAAUGCUUGUGCCUACACAUAAGCACACUCCCAAUGACUGUACUUUGAGGUUUCUCAUUUUAAUACUCAUUAAGAUCCUGAGUUUAUAUGCACACUCCUUUGAAAUGCUUAAAAUGCACAUGGAUUAAAUAAAUCUUUCCUUCCGCUAGACACUGUACCAACUUUCUGUUGUGGAAAGAUAAUUUCAAUCUAGUUACCCGUACCACGUCUCCCAAGUUUUGCCAAAAGCAUGGUCACAGUUGAGUUCAGUAACUAGUGUUAGAUUUGAAAUUUAAAAGCUGUAUCCAGAUUUAAUUGAAGUUAUGAAAUUUAGACAGUAUAUUUUAUGCAUAAAUGAAUAUAAUUUAAGUUUAUGAUUUUUAUAUAGAUACUUGAUAUGUACAGGUACUCACAAAUAAUUAUUGAAUAUUUUCUUUCUUUUUUUCUUUUUGUUCCCUGGUUUGAUCCAAAAAGGAUUUGAGCAAUUUGCAGUAAUACACAUGAGUCAAGGUUAACUAUAUGAAUAGAUACAGAAAUCACUCAAAUGUAAAAUAAAUUUGGUCACUGUAAGGUGAAACCAGAGAAGUUAGCUGGCAGGAGCAAGUAAGGGCUUUUGAAGUUAUCAAAAUUGAUCUGCAAAUGUAUGGACUUGUUUUGGGUCCUGAUUCAAAUCAACCAACUGGGGAGAAAAGAUACUUUUUUUUUUUUUAAUUUUUUUAUGGUUAUAUUAAUCACCAUACAUUACAUCAUUAGUUUUUUGUUUUGUUUUUUUUAAAGAUUUUAUUAUUUGACAGAGAGAGACACAGCGAGAGAGGAAACACAAGCAGGGGGAGGGGGAGAGGGAGAGGGAGAAGGAGGCUUCCCACAGAGCAGGGAGCCCGAUGUGGGACUCGAUCCCAGGACUCCAGGAUCAUGACCUGAGCCGAAGGCAGUCGCUUAACCGACUGAGCCACCCAGGCGCCCACAUCAUUAGUUUUUGAUGUAGCGUUCCAUGAUUCGUUGUUUGUGCAUAACACCCAGUGCUCCAUGCAGAACGUGCCCUCAUUAAUACCCAUCACCAGGCUAACCCAUCCUCCCACCCCCCUCCCCUCUAGAACCCUCAGCCUGUUUUUCAGAGUCCAUCGUCUCUCAUGGUUCAUCUCCCCCUCCGAUUUCCCCCCCUUCAUUCUUCCCCUCCUGCUAUCUUCUUUUUUUUUUUUUUCUUAACAUAUAUUGCAUUAUUUGUUUCAGAGGUACAGAUCUGUGAUUCAACAGUCUUGCACAAUUCACAGCACUCACCAUAGCAGAUACACUCCCCGGUGUCUAUCACCCAGCCACCCCAUCCCUCCCACCCACACCACUCCAGCAACCCUCAGUUUGUUUCCUGAGAUUAAGAAUUCCUCAUAUCAGUGAGGUCAUAUGAUACAUGUCUUUCUCUGAUUGACUUGUUUCGCUCAGCAUAACACCCUCCAGUUCCAUCCACGUCGUAGCAAAUGGCAAGAUCUCAUUCCUUUUGAUGUCUGCAUAAUAUUCCAUUGUGUGUAUGUGUGUGUGUGUGUGUGUGUAUAUAUAUAUAUAUAUAUCACAUCUUCUUUAUCCAUUCAUCUGUCGAUGGACAUCUUGGCUCUUUCCACAGUUUGGCUAUUGUGGACAUUGCUGCUAUAAACAUCGGGGUGCAUGUACCCCUUCGGAUCCCUACAUUUGUAUCUUUGGGGUAAAUACCCAGUAGUGCAAUUGCUGGACCAUUAUGGUAGCUCUAUUUUCAACUUUUUGAGGAACCUCCAUACUGUUUUCCAGAGUGGCUGCACCAGCUUGCAUUCCCACCAACAGUGUAGGAGGGUUCCCCUUUCUCCACAUCUCUGCCAACAUCUGUCAUUUCCUGACUUGUUAAUUUUAGCCAUUCUGACUUGUGUGAGGUGGUAUCUCAUUGAGGUUUUGAUUUGGAUUUCCCUGAUGCCGAGCGAUGUUGAACACUUUUUCAUGUGUCUGUUGGCCAUUUGGAUGUCUUCUUUGGAAAAAGGUCUGUUCAUGUCUUCUGCCCAUUUCUUGCUUGGAUUCUUUGUUCUUUGGAGGUUGAGUUUGAUAAGUUCUUUAUAGAUUUUGGAUACUAGCCCUUUAUCUGAUAUGUCAUUUGCAAGUAUCUUCUCCCAUUCUGUCAGUUGUCUUUUGGUUUUGUUGACUGUUUCCUUUGCUGUGCAAAACUUUUUAUCUUGAUGAGGUCCCAAUAGUUCAUUUUUGCUCUUGCUUCUCUUGCCUUUGGCAAUGUUUCUAGGAAGAAGUUGUUGCAGUGAGGUCAAAGAGAUUGCUGCCUGUGUUCUCCUCUAGGAUUUUGAUGAACUCCUGUCUCACAUUUUGUCUUUCCUCCAUUUUGAGUCUAUUUUUGUGUGAGGUGUAAGGAGAUGCUCCAGUUUCAUUCUUCUGCAUGUGGCUGUCCAAUUUUUCCAACAUCUGUUGAAGAGACUGUUUUUUUCCAUGGGACAUUCUUUCCUGCUUUGUCAAAGAUUAGUUGACCAUAGAGUUGAGGGUCCAUUUCUGGGCUCUCUAUUCUAUUCCAUUGAUCUCUGUGUCUGUUUUUGUGCCAGUACCAUACUGUCUUGAUGACAGCUUUGUAAUAGAGCUGGAAGUCCGGAAUUGUGAUGCCGCCAGCUUUGCUUUUCUUUUUCAACAUUCUUCUGGCUCUUCAGGGUCUUUUCUGGUUCCAUACAAAUUUUUGGAUUAUUUGUUCCAUUUCUUUGAAAAAAGUGGAUGGUAUUUUGAUGGGGAUUGCAUUGAAUGUGUAGAUUGCUCUAGGUAGCAUUGACAUCUUCACAAUAUUUGUUCUUCCAAUCCAUGAGCAUGGAACGUUUUUCCAUUUCUUUGUGUCUUCCUCAAUUUCUUUCAUGAGUAUUUUAUAGUUUUCUGAGUACAGAUCCUUUGCCUCUUUGGUUAGAUUUAUUCCUAGGUAUCUUAUGGUUUCGGGUGUAAUUGUAAAUGGGAUCGACUCCUUAAUUUGUCUUUCUUCUGUCUUGUUGUUUGUGUAUAGAAAUGCCACUGAUUUCUGUGCACUGAUUUUAUAUCCUGCCACUUUACUGAAUUCCUUUAUGAGUUCUAGCAGUUUGGGGGUGGAGUCUUUUGGGUUUUCCACAUAAAGCAUAUCAUCUGCAAAAAGUGAGACUUUCACUUCUUCUUUGCCGAUUCGGAUGCCUUUUAUUUCCUUUUGUUGUCUGAUUGCUGAGGCUAGGACUUCUAGUUCUAUGUUGAACAGCAGUGGUGAUAGUGGACAUCCCUGCCGUGUUCCUGACCUUAGGGGGAAAGCUCUCAGUUUUUCCCCAUUGAGAAUGAUGUUCGCUGUAGGUUUUUCAUAGAUGGCUUUUAUGAUAUUGAGGUAUGUACCCUCUAUCCCUAUACUCUGAAGAGUUUUAAUCAAGAAAGGAUGUUGUACUUUGUCAAAUGCUUUUUUUGCAUCUAUGGAGAGGAUCAUAUGAUUCUUGUUCUUUCGUUUAUUGUAUCACGUUGAUUGAUUUGCGGAUGUUGAACCAACCUUGCAGCCCAGGGAUAAAUCCCACUUGGUCGUGGUGAAUAAUCCUUUUAAUGUACUCUUGGAUCCUUUUGUCUAGUGUUUUGGGGAGAAUUUUUGCAUCCAUGUUCGUCGGGGAUAUUGGUCUGUAAUUCUCCUUUUUGAUGGUGUCUUUGUCUGGUUUUGGGAUCAAGGUAGUGGUGGCCUCAUAAAACGAGUUUGGAAGUUUUCCUUCCAUUUCUAUUUUUUGAAACAGUUUCGGAAGAAUAGGUAUUAAUUCUUCUUUAAAUGUUUGGUAGAAUUCCCCUGGGAAGCCAUCUGGCCCUGGGCUUUUGUUUUUUGGGAGAUUUUUGAUGACUGCUUCAAUUUCCUUAGUGGUUAUAGGUCUGUUCAGGUUUUCUAUUUCUUCCUGGUUCAGUUUUGGUAGUUGAUACAUCUCUAGGAAUGCAUCCAUUCCUUCCAGAUUAUCUAAUUUGCUGGCAUAGAGUUGCUCAUAAUAUGUUCUUAUAAUUGUUUGUAUUUCUUUGGUGUUGGUUGUGAUCUCUCCUCUUUCAUUCAUGAUUUUGUUGAUUUGGGUCAUUUCUCUUUUCUUUUUGAUAAGUAGGAUGCUCUUUAGCCUCCAUGUAUUUGAGUUCUUUCUGACUUUCCUCUUGUGAUUGAGUUCUAGUUUCAAAGCAUUGUGGUCUGAAAAUAGGCAGGGAAUGAUCCCAGUCUUUUGGUACCGGUUGAGACCUGAUUUAUGACCUAGGAUGUGAUCUAUUCUGGAGAAUAGAGAAGAAUGUAUAUUCCGUUGCUUUGGGAUGGAAUGUUCUGAAUAUGUCUGUGAAGUCCAUUUGGUCCAGUGUGUCAUUUAAAGUCUUUAUUUCCUUGUUGAUCUUUUGCUUAGAUGAUCUGUCCAUUUCAGUGAGGGGGGUGUUAAAGUCCCCCACUUUUAUUGUAUUGUUGUCAAUGUGUUUCUUUGCUUUUGUUAUUAAUUGCCUUAUAUAAUUGGCUGCUCCCAUGUUAGGGGCAUAGGUAUUUACAAUUGUUAGAUCUUCUUGUUGGGUAGACCCUUUAAGUAGGUUAUAGUAUCCUUCCUCAUCUCUUAUUACAGUCUUUGGUUUAAAAUCUAAUUUGUCUGAUAUAAGGAUUGCCACCCCAGCUUUCUUUUGGUGUCCAUUAGCAUGGUAAAUCGUUUUCCAUGCCCUCACUUUCAAUCUGGGGGUGUCUUUGGGUCUAUAAUGAGUCUCUUGCAGACAGCGUAUCGAUGGGUCUUGUUUUUUAAUCCAAUCUGAUAGCCUGUGUCUUUUGAUUGGGGCAUUUAGCCCAUUUACAUUCAGGGUAACUAUUGAAAGAUAGGAAUUUAGUGCCAUUGUAUUGCCUGUAAGGUGACUGUUACUGUAUAUUGUCUGUGUUCCUUUCUGGUCUAUGUUGCUUUUAGGGUCUCUCUUUGCUUAGAGGAUCCCUUUCAGUAUUUCUUGUAGGGCUGGUUUUGUGUUUGCAAAUUCUUUUAGUUUUUGUUUGUCCUGGAAGCUUUUUAUCUCUCCUUCUAUUUUCAAUGACAGCCUAGCUGGAUAUAGUAUUCUUGGCUGCAUAUUUUUCAUUUAGUGCUCUGAAUAUAUCAUGCCAGUCCUUUCUGGCCUGCCAGGUCUCUGUGGAUAGGUCUUUUGCCAAUCUAAUGUUUCUACCAUUGUAGGUUACAUAUCUCUUUUCCCGAGCUCCUUUCAGGAUUUUCUCUUUGUCUAUGAGACUCGUAAGUUUUACUAUUAGGUGUUGACCUAUUUUUAUUGAUUUUGAGAGGGGUUCUCUGUGCAUCCUGGAUUUUGAGGCCUGUUUCCUUCCCAAAUUAGGGAAGUUCUCUGCUGUAAUUUGCUCCAAUAUACCUUCUGGCCCUCUCUCUCUUUCUUCUUCUUCUGGGAUCCCAAUUAUUCUAAUACUGUUUCGUCUUACGGUAUCACUUAUCUCUCGAAUUCUGCCCUUGUGAUCCAGUAGUUGUUUAUCUCUCUUUUUCUCAGCUUCUUUAUUUUCCAUCAUUUGGUCUUCUAUAUCACUGAUUCUCUCUUCUGCCUCAUUUAUCCUAGCAGUUAGCGCCCCCAUUUUUGAUUGCACCUCAUUAAUAGCCUUUUUGAUUUCGACUUGGUUAGAUUUUAGUUCUUUUAUUUCUCCAGAAAGGGUUUCUCUUAAUAAUUUCCAUGCUUUUUUCAGGCCCAGCUAGUAUCUUUAAAGUGAUGAUUCUGAACUCUACAUCCAACAUCAUACUAAUGUCCGUAUUGAGUAGGUCCCUGGCAGUCGGUACUACCUCUUGUUCUUUUUGUUGAGUGAUUUUUUUCCGUCUUGUCAUUUUGUCCAGAGGAGAAUAGAUUAAUGAAUGAGAGAACAAAAUGCUAACAGGGAACAACGUCCUCAGAAAAUAUACUCUAAACAAAUCAGAAAAGACCUGAAGCCAGGGGAAAAUAAAGGGAAAGAAAGAAAAAAGAAAAAGAAAAAGAUAAAAACAAACAAAAACCAAAAAAAAAAAAAACACAGUAUGAUCAAAUAUGAUCAGGCUGGUGCAUAGACCAGUGCCACAUACUAGAUUUGGGGUAUAUUUUGGUCUGUUAGAAGAAGUGCCUCCCAGAAUUUUAAAUAAAGAAAAACUUAUGUAUGUACAAAAAUAAGGGUUGAUAUGAUGAAGGGAUGGAAUAUGACUGUAAAGAUGAAAAUUAUAAAAAAUUUUAUAAAAGGAAUUGAUACGAAGUUGUUUGAAAAAAGAAAGAAGAGGAUUUAAAAAAACAAAAGAAAGGGGGAGAAUGUGAUCAGGCAGGAGAGUAGAACAAAACCAUACACUAGAGAUUUAGGGUAUUUUUGAUCUGUUAGAAGAAACUAUCUCAAAAUUGGAAAGAGAGAACAACUUAUAUAUAUAUAUGCCAAAAAUAAGGGCAACUACUAUGAAGGGAUAGAAUAUGACUCUAAAAAUGAAAAAUAAAAAUUUUUUUCAGAAAAGGGAUUGAUAAGAUGUUGGUUGAAAAAGGGAAAAAGAUGGGGCGCCUGGGUGGCUCAGUCAUUAAGUGUCUGCCUUUGGCUCAGGUCAUGAUCCCAGGGUCCUGGGAUCGAGCCCCACAUCGGGCUCCCUGCUCCGCGGGAAGCCUGCUUCUCCCUCCCCCCCUCCCCCUGCUUGUGUUCCCUCUCUUGCUGUGUCUCUCUCUGUCAAAUAAAUAAAUAAAAUCUUUAAAAAAAGAAAAAGGGAAAAAGAAAAAUUCAAAAAAAAAGAGUUAAAGAAAAAAUUAACUUUGAAAGACUAAAGGAUCAUGGUAAAAAAGCGAUGGAUUCUAUGUGCAUUAUUCCCCUAGCGCUGGAGUUCUGUCGUUCUCAUUGAUUGGUAAACAUGGUCUUGGCUGGCUAUUCUCCCUGAUCUUCUCGGGGAGGGGCCUGUUGCCGUGGUUCCCAAAUGUCUUUGCCCGAGGCGAAAUUGCCCCGCCCUUGCCCGAUCUGGGCUAAGUAAUCUGUUCGGGUUUGCUCUCGGGAGCUUUUGUUCCCUGCAAGCUUUCCAUGCACUUUUGGAGGCCGAGAGUGAAAAUGGCGGUCUCCGAAUCUCCACCCCGGAGGAGCCAAGAACUUGGGGCCCCGCUCCUCAGUGCGUCCCCAGAGAAAAGCAGUCGAUCAAUCCCGUCUCCCUGCUCUGGCCGCACUCCGUGCUCACCCAGCCUGUGACCGAGCGUUUCUAUCUCUGACACCCAACUCAGUGUGGAGUCUCCAAACCCAGCAGAUCCCUGCAGUGCGCUCCCGCGCUGCUCCUCCCGGGGGAGGAAGGGGAGUCUCCCCGGAUCUGCCGCUUAUUGGGUCCCUGCUGGAGGAGCAGUGGCCCGACUGUGCCGUGGAUCACCGUUUAUGGCAACCCCAAGCUGAGAGCCCGCGCCUCGGCUGCGUCACUGCAGCCGGCUUCCCCACUCUGAUACCUGGGAGCUCUGCCACACUCAGGCACCCCUGGUCUUCCUGUGACCCCGAGGGUCCUGAGACCAGUGUCCCACGAGGGUUCCACCCCCUGCUUAGCCACUGGAGCGACGUCCCUUAGCAGAGCCGACUUCUAAAAGUUCCGAUCUUGUGGUCCACGGCUCUAUCACUUGCCAGAAGCAGCUGAUGGAGGCCCCCUCCCCCGCCGUCUAUCCUCCCGAAUAUCACCUCAGAUUCACUUCUCUGCACGUCCUACCUUCCAGAAAGUGGUCGCUUUUCUGUUCAGAGAGUUGUUGCUAUUCUUUUCUUCGACCUCCUGUUGAGUUCAUAGUUGUUCAGAAUGGUUUGAUCCCUAUCCAGCUGAAUUCCUGAGACCAGACGAAAUCCAGGUCUCUUACUCCUCCGCCAUCUUGCUCCACCGAGAAAAGAUACUUUUAAGACAAUUGGUGAAAAAAGUGAACAUGAACAGAGUAUUCAGUUGGAUCUGACAGUGGUAUCAGAAAGGAUCUCUUACCUUUUAGGGAUAUAUACUGUAAUUUUUUGUUUGUUUCAAGUUUUUAUUUAAAUUCCAGUUAUCAUAAAGCGUAAUAUUAGUUUCAGGAGUAGAAAUCAGAGAUUAAUCACUUACAUAUAACACCCAGUGCUCAUCACAAGUGCCCUGCUUAAUACCCAUCACCCAUUUAGCCCAUCCUGCCGCUCACCUU